GGGAUGGGGGAGGGAUGGCGAGGUCCGGGACGCGCAGGCAGGUCGAGAGGUCUACAUUCACACUGUGUGAGAUUCUGAGGUUCAAGGAGGACCCGCGUCUUUGAGUGUCACUGUCACGGGCACCAUGUUCUAAGAUGAUCCUACAGGACUAAGCUGAUCCACGGUUCUAAGCCAAUCCCAUUGUUCUACAUUGAUCCGUGGCUCUAAGAUGACUGAUGAUUCCAACCCUGAACCUUUCAGGAUCCCUGGGGUUUCCAAGGCAGCCCUGAACAGAGAAGAGGAAUGCAGGAGGCACUGCUUUGUCCUGCGGGGCGACACCCAAAGGAUUCACCUGUCGUGGCAGAUGGUGGUCCCGAUGCUGCUGCUCCGGCACUGGCGAAAGACGAGCUGAUCUGUGUGCAGAGAGCAUUGAUGCUGUCGCUGUCACUGGCACCAGGAGGCUCCAUCUCAGGACCUCACCAGAGCUGUACCCGCUGGAGGGAUGUCACCCAGGACACGUCUUCCAUCAUGAGGUGAUGAGCCUACCCAGAUGCGCCAGGGCCAUGGAAACAACAGCUCAGGACAAGCUGGACCGGGAAACCACCUCUUCCUGCAUCUCACUGUGUGACCUCAGGAAGUCCCUUCCCCUCUCUGGGCUCCAGUUUCCCAACUAGAGACCUGGGAUAAACAUCCCUAGGCUACCUCCCCAAGCCUCCUGGGAAGGUCAGUUAAGGUAGUGAACGUUCAAUGCUCUGGAAUCCAACAAAAGCUUCAUAAACAACUCUGUGGACAGUGCUCUGCUUCAGAGCUGUUAAAACGCAGUGCCUCCAGGCGGUGAUUCAGCGCAGCCGCAGAAGCAGCAGCAGGAGCAGCACACUGUGAGAUGUGCAGCAAAUCAGACCUCACUGUAAACUCCUGUUUGUCUGUGCAAACAGUGAAGUGCCUUUUGCGAUGCAAAGUACCUGAAAAUUAGCAUGUCCUUUGGGAACAAACCCUUUGCAAAUUCAAAAGCACCUAACAACAUUCUUUGUUAAGUUCUGACAUCCUAUGUAAAUGGUAAAAGAAACGUUUGUAAACAGAAGCACUGCACCUUGAGCAUUGUUUCUUAUUUAUUUCUGUCACAUCCCCUGCUCUCAUUCUUUCUGAAUAGCAACUCCAAGUAAGAUAUAAAGUGAGAUAUAUCUUUUAUAUGUUAACCCAUCCACACACAAUGAAAUAAAUGUACCAUUAU